CAUAUACCAUGCGCUCAGGACAUAAUCAGUGAUUAAUGCAGAACAAAUUCUAAAAGAAUUCUAAAUCAGCACUGACUUUUAAAUCCAACCUGGACACUCGGUUGGUUCUCCUCCAGCCAUGUCUGAUCAAAACAGAGGACUUCUACCAGACAGGACACGUAUUGCAUUGUCCUGGAGCUGAUGGAGGGGGGAGAGCUGUUUAACAGGGUGAAGGCGGGACAAGGCCUGGAUGAGGCUGUGGCUAAACUCUACUUCUACCAGAUGCUGAUGGCAGUGGAGUACCUCCACAGGAAUGGCAUCAUCCACAGAGAUCUGAAACCCGAGAAUAAUCUAUUGGCUUCUCAGGCAAAGCCCUGUCUCAUUAAGGUCACAGAUUUCAACCAGUCCAAGAUUCUGGAGGGGGAGAACAGCUCAACGCGACCACGGGGCAUGCACCUUACCAAUAGACGAGUCCAACACGAUACACCUGAAGCUCAUUUUAAACCCUUGCACGUGUUUCAAAUGUAAUCUGGUCACCCAGAGAACGAAGAUCACGGCCGACCAUCGCAAUACGACCGCGGGUGCGACCACCAGUGCAUCGCCGAGAACAGCUCAACGCGAGCGGCGAACGAAGAGGGAAAAGCCCCGCGGUCUUUGUUCAAAAGCAUUUCCUUUUUCUUUCCUUUUCUUUAAGUUAAGGGACAUGUAAACUUCUAUAGAAAACUACACCCACACAUGAUGUCGGGUCAAUAGCUCCACAAUCACGCUUUUUCUCUUGAGAAAUCAAAGAAAAAGAAGGAAGACGUUAAGAAAGCAAAGCAGAAGAAGCCUGGCCAGAAGGAAUCUCAGAAGGAGAGACGCGCGGGAGUCGACGAGCAACCUGCUCCUCCUAUGGUGAAGAAGCCCCCAACACGGGAGCCCAUGUCCAGUGAGAGCCGAGGCGGAGCAGUGGAGGGUCAAAGGGCCCCAAGAAGGAAUGCGUUUGAGGAGCGACCGUAUGAGCCAGAACAGUACUACCAGGAAAACUUCGGCCCCAAGGCCGACCUAUUCUCAAACUUUAAAUGGGUAAGAGGAGGAAAAGAAACGCUGGAAAUAACUGGUCCGAAAUGUUUAUAUUUUUAAUAAAAAAAUACGAUUUCAUAAAUUGCACAGAAUUUUAUUAAAGUUAGUCUUUAACUUCAGUCUUUACAAAGACUGAAGUUCAGUGGCCACAGUUUAGACCUUUCACAUUGCUUUGGGAAAUAUCGACAUUUUUGGGUUAGUUUGAAGGCAACUGUUUGCUUGUUGUUGAAGUGAAUGUGUUUAAAUAAAUCUAGUUUACAUUACAAACUGAAGCCCCACUCACCAAGUGUGCCUCAGAAGAAAGUAGGAUUUUUUUUUUUUUCAGCUUUACUGAUCGAUAUCCAUGUGAUCAAUAGCUUUAUUCUCCAUGUUUGCUAAAGGCAAAGACCACUUUAUCAAAUCCCAAUGGGAGCGUCUGGAUCCGCUGCUAAACCACCACAGGAAGACAAAUGAUACGAGACUAAAACACUACUUUGUCCACCUUUCAACUACAAAAUACUCCCAAGAAACCACAGAUUGUUUUUUGUCUCGGACUCAAACUCACGAUCACGGGGCAUGCACCUUACCAAUAGACGAGGUUGUGUAAACAAACAUUAAAAAAAAAAGGAAAAAUAAACUUGAAUACAAACUGAAAAGAAGAACCAUUUCUCUUUGAGUCCCGAACCUUCCCCGUACGGCAAUAGAUUAUCAUCAUGUCCAAUGCCAAUUUUAGGGAAAUCAAAAGAUGAAUAUAACCCUAACCCUAACCCCAUCGCCGAGAACAGCUCAAUGGGACCCUUGCACGUGUUUCAAAUGUAAUCUGGUCACCCAGAGAACAAAGAUCACGGCCGACCAUCGCAAUACGACCGCGGGUGCGACCACCAGUGCAUCGAAGCAGAACACACAGGACAUCAUCGGCUACAAACAGCUUAACGCGACCAAGUGUUUCCCAGGCUACGAUAUGGAGAGGACCCGCAUCAAGGUGAUGAUGAUGCGGGUUGAUGUUGUUGAUGACUAUGAUGUUCCAGUGUUUGCUAAAGAUAAAAAAGAGUACUUUUACCUUGCUCUGUUGAAUUGCACAUGUUUUUAUGUUGUGAUUUAGAUGUUAGCGACAGUAGGAUAGGACGGAUGAAGAUGUGAUGGUUUGAUUAGGGAGAUGUUUAGUUGCAGAUAAAGGUAAAGUCAACUACUGUUUAACUCGCUGGCAGUUAAAUCAACCUAUCCUGGCAGUUAAAUCAACUUUUUCUUUGUAAACAACUGACUCCGUAUUGUCUUGAGGGGAGAAUCGACCAACGUGGAUACAUCAUUAAUCAAAAUCUGGAUUUAGCAAAACAAAAUGAACACUUUGACUGCAGGCAAACACAACGCAGAUUCAACCGGUCACACUUCUAUAAAUCUAUAAAUGCCCGUAAAACAAAGAAAGCCUUGUGUCCGUUGUGGCAACCCGGCCCAGGCCAAUUAAGGAUAUUGAGAGCACCUGAAGAGACAGACUCUGAGGAGAAGUAGGGCUUAUCUUCUUAUCAUCUUCCUCGUCACAGAGCCGAGGAAGAUGUACUUUUUCAAUCAGUGUAUCUGUGCCACUUUAAUUGCCAUCUAAGACUAAAUACUGGCCUGUCCUUUGUGGCUCCAGCCUUCAUGAGGAGAGAGAAGUCCGGCCAGAAGAAUUGGAAAGUUUUCCACCGAAAUGGAAGGGACUAUUCCAUGGAUAAUCUUUUCAUUUGUGUUGUUAAUUUGUCAUUGUGAGGGUAAGACCACGCUGUGAAUGACUAAAAACGGUUAGGUCCCUCCUGUGGAUCUCUUGAGUCGAAGUUCUACAAACAAAGAAAAAGAGGGGGA
ensembl:lncRNA